rnacentral:rRNA from 1 species
AGAGUUUGAUCAUGGCUCAGAAUCAACGCUGGCGGCGUGCCUAACACAUGCAAGUCGAACGCGAAAGUGGAGCAAUCCAUGAGUAGAGUGGCAAACGGGUGAGUAACGCGUGGGCGACCUACCUCAGAGUGGGGGAUAACCUUCCGAAAGGAGGGCUAAUACCGCAUGACAGCCUCUGUUUAGAUACAGGGGACUCAAAGCCGGGGAUCGCAAGACCUGGCGCUUGGAGAGGGGCCCGCGUCCGAUUAGCUAGUUGGUGGGGUAACGGCUCACCAAGGCUCCGAUCGGUAUCCGGCCUGAGAGGGCGGACGGACACACUGGGACUGAGACACGGCCCAGACUCCUACGGGAGGCAGCAGUGGGGAAUUGUUCGCAAUGGGCGCAAGCCUGGCGACGCAACGCCGCGUGGAGGAUGAAGACCUUCGGGUCGUAAACUCCUUUCGACCGAGAUGAAUUCUCGCCGACCUAACACGUCGGCGAGGUGACAGUAUCGA